CUCAUCUUUCUUCUCUGUCUCUUUCUCUCUCACACGAUUCCAAGUCUCUUCUCUUCUUACUUCCAUAUCUUCUCUGUCUAUUCCUUUUCUUGACCUGUCUUCUUGCUCGACGCCACCUGCAGGGCUUCUCGGCGGAGUGGUAGAAGAGGUAGAGGAGAUUGAUGGAGGAGGACAGGUGGUGGUGGCUCGUAACUCAUGAGCAGAACCGGCUUGAAAGUUGAAGAAGAAGAAGCUACGGUGAGACAGCAGAAGCGUGACGGCGGAGGAGGCGUGACGCGUCCCUUCAUCGGUAACAUCUGUGGCUCCAGCAACGAAUCGAUUUGCCACUUCUGGCGUAGUAUCCUGAGGCAAUGGAGGUGUCCGUGGUGAAGCCGGUGGCGGAACCGGUGGUGGAGUGACUGGAGUCGGUGGUUGAGCCAGUGUAUAUAUUUGUGUGUAUAUAAAUGUAAUAUAUAUAUCUAUAUUCAUAAUUUGUAUUUUAUCAAUUAAAUUAAUAAAACUAUUAUUUUAUU